AGGAGAUUGAUAAAAGAAAGGAGGAAGGAAAGGAGGAGAAAAGAGAAAAAGAAAGAAAGGUGUGUAAGCAGGCAGUGGAGAGGAGACAUCGCGGGGAUACUACAUAGACCGGCAUCAGGCUUCGGUUCAACUCUGCGCGGGGAAGCGUCUCAGCGGCACAUGUGACUAGAUCUUUCGUCGACUGCUGGUGGCGUUGUCCCUGAGAGGAGCACGUGGCCUUUGCUGUCCCUGCAUCCCCGAGACUACUGUGACCGUCACAACAGCUCUCAUUCUGCCUCCCUCCCAACCCUCCCCCUUUCCUGGGGCGGCUGUUGGCACAGUCACUCCUGUGGAAAUACCUGGAAUUCUGGGAAUAUGUCCGAUGAAAGCCUUUGAGGAAGACAAAAACGGGAAGACACAAACGUUGGACCUUUUCUCUGGUGCGCUGGCACCGCAAACCUGAAAGCUUUACGUUCUUCUUGAAAAGCUUUACAUUCUACUGUCUUAAUUUUUUGUGUGUGACGAUACCAAAAUGAAAUAGAGACAAAACAAAGACAAACAAAAAAAAUCCAAAGGGAGACGUACGUAAGGAGAGGUGAAGAUAUCCCAAAAAUAAAGAAAAGAAAAGCUUUAGCAUCCAGCAAUAGCCCUCCGGCCCUUUGCCAGUGCUCUCUGCUGUGAGCAAGAGAGAGAGAGAGGGUGGCGCGACCUUUCAGACCAACUGCUUCAAACGGACACUUGAAAAGGCGACACUGCCUGAGAGGCCUCAACAUCAUCACCACCACUGACA